CGUACACAAGUGCAAACCUUCACGUGGUGUGUAUGAUCUCGACUAAUUGCAC
rnacentral:ribozyme from 1 species